UACAGAGGCCACGAGCGUUAGGCGGAAUCACUGGGCUUAAAGCGUGUGUAGGUGGAUGACUAAGUACCUUGUGAAAUCCCACGGCUCAACCGUGGAACUGCUUGGUAUACUGGUUGUCUUGAGGCACUCAGGGGCGAGCGGAACAGAUGGUGGAGCGGUGAAAUGCGUAGAUAUCAUCUGGAACGCCAAUGGUGAAGAUAGCUCGCUGGGGGUGUACUGACACUGAGACACGAAAGCUAGGGGAGCAAACGGG
rnacentral:rRNA from 1 species